UGAAACACAACAUUCAAGCCUAAAAAAGCAGAGAUAUACCCUCGUACCUUUUGCAUCAUGUUUUAGCUAGUAAAAUCAAGCAAAGAGAACUAUAGUUUGAAACCCCGAAACCAAGUGAGCUACUCCGAAACAGCUUACAUAGAGCCAACCCUUCUCUGUAGCAAAAGAGUGGGAAGAGUUCCGAGUAGAGGUGACAAACCUACCGAACUUGGUUAUAGCUGGUUACCUGAGAAAUGAAUAGAAGUUCAGCUCUGUUCUUCCUUCAAUCAAUUUAGUAUUACUAAAAUAGAUCAAAGAAACAAACAGAAGUUACUCAUAGAAGGUACAGCUUCUUUGAGAAAGGAUACAACCUUAAAGAGAGGUAAAGGCUUAUAAUUUUAUAAAGCACCAUUUCAGUGGGCCUAAAAGCAGCCACCUGUUUAGAAAGCGUUAAAGCUCAAAUGGAGUAUAGCUCCUUAUAACUAUAAUUAAUUCCUACACCCUCACAAUUAUCAGGUUAUUUCAUGCACCCAUGAAAGAAAUAAUGCUAGAAUGAGUAACAAGAAGAAUGAACUUCUCCAAGCACAUGUGUAAGUUGGAUCGGACACCCCACCAACAAUUAACGAACUCAACCAAAGAGAGUAAUGCAAUAAUAAAAAUAAACUAGAAAAACAUGCAUAACCUAUCGUUACCCCUACACAGGAGUGCCAUUAGGAAAGACUUAAAGGUGAAGAAGGAACUCGGCAAACAUAAACCUCGCCUGUUUACCAAAAACAUCGCCUCCUGAAUAAUAAAACAUAGGAGGUCCCGCCUGCCCUGUGACCAAAAGUUUAACGGCCGCGGUAUUUUGACCGUGCGAAGGUAGCGCAAUCACUUGUCUUUUAAAUGAAGACCUGUAUGAAUGGCAUAACGAGGGUUUAACUGUCUCCUUCCCCUAGUCAGUGAAAUUGAUCUGCCCGUGAAGAAGCGGACAUAAUAAUACAAGACGAGAAGACCCUAUGGAGCUUAAGACACAAGACCAAACAUGUUAAACAACCCCAAAUAGGUAAAAACACAAUGAAAUCUGGUCCCAAAUGUCUUCGGUUGGGGCGACCAUGGGGAAAAAUAAAACCCCCACGCUGAUUGGGAUAACCUCCUAAAACUAAGAAAUACAUUUCUAAGCCACAGAAUUUCUGACUUAUAUGAUCCGGCCCAAAAGCCGAUCAACGAACCAAGUUACCCUAGGGAUAACAGCGCAAUCCUCUUUUAGAGUCCAUAUCGACAAGAGGGUUUACGACCUCGAUGUUGGAUCAGGACAUCCUAAUGGUGCAGCCGCUAUUAA
rnacentral:rRNA from 1 species